CGGCGGACGGGUGAGUAAUGCCUAGGAAUCUGCCUGGUAGUGGGGGACAACGUUUCGAAAGGAACGCUAAUACCGCAUACGUCCUACGGGAGAAAGCAGGGGACCUUCGGGCCUUGCGCUAUCAGAUGAGCCUAGGUCGGAUUAGCUAGUUUGUGAGGUAAUGGCUCACCAAGGCGACGAUCCGUAACUGGUCUGAGAGGAUGAUCAGUCACACUGGAACUGAGACACGGUCCAGACUCCUACGGGAGGCAGCAGCC
rnacentral:rRNA from 1 species